rnacentral:rRNA from 1 species
GGCGGACGGGUGAGUAACGCGUAAGAACCUGCCCUUGGGAGGGGAUCAACAGCUGGAAACGGCUGCUAAUACCCCAUAGGCUGAGGAGCAAAAGGAGGAAUCCGCCCAAGGAGGGGCUCGCGUCUGAUUAGUUAGUUGGUGAGGCAAUGGCUUACCAAGGCGACGAUCAGUAGCUGGUCCGAGAGGAUGAUCAGCCACACUGGGACUGAGACACGGCCCAGACUCCUACGGGGGGCAGCAGUGGGGAAUUUUCCGCAAUGGGCGAAAGCCUGACGGAGCAAUGCCGCGUGAAGGCAGAAGGCCCACGG